AGCAAGACGGUCGGUCGCUUGCCGACUUCGAGAGCGGCAAGAGGAAAGUCCGGGCAAUACAGGGCGCCAUGGUUGUUAACGGCAACCUGUCAGUGAUGGCAGAGUAGCGUGACAGAAAAUAACCGCCGUCAUUCGUGGCGGUAAGGGUGAAAAGGCGGGGUAAGAGCCCACCGGGUCCCACAGCGAUAUGGGAUGCCGCACGCCUCAUGGAUUGCAAGGUCAAGUAUACCGGCAUUUAAGGGUUGCCCGCCCAUUGCCGGGGGGUAGACUGCUCAAGCCCGGUGGCGACAUCGGGAUUAGAUAAAUGACCGACCGCGGCGGCAAUUGCUGCCGUCGCGACAUAACCCGGCUUACAGUCAUGCUCGA
rnacentral:RNase_P_RNA from 1 species